AUUGAACGCUGGCGGCAUGCUUUACACAUGCAAGUCGAACGGCAGCGCGGGCUUCGGCCUGGCGGCGAGUGGCGAACGGGUGAGUAAUGCAUCGGAACGUGCCCAGUAGUGGGGGAUAGCCCGGCGAAAGCCGGAUUAAUACCGCAUACGACCUGCGGGUGAAAGCGGGGGACCGAAAGGCCUCGCGCUAUUGGAGCGGCCGGUGUCGGAUUAGCUAGUUGGUGGGGUAAAGGCUUACCAAGGCGACGAUCCGUAGCUGGUCUGAGAGGACGACCAGCCACACUGGGACUGAGACACGGCCCAGACUCCGACGGGAGGCAGCAGUGGGGAAUUUUGGACAAUGGGGGCAACCCUGAUCCAGCCAUGCCGCGUGCGGGAAGAAGGCCUUCGGGUUGUAAACCGCUUUUGUUCGGGAAGAAAUCCUCUGGGCUAAUACCCCGGGGGGAUGACGGUACCGGAAGAAUAAGCACCGGCUAACUACGUG
rnacentral:rRNA from 1 species